GGGCCGGUUGCCUAGUGAUCGAAGGCUCUCCACUCAUAAUGGAGCACAUAAGAACCCCCGCAGGUUUGAUUCCUGCCCGGCCCA
rnacentral:tRNA from 1 species